rnacentral:rRNA from 1 species
CAGCAGCCGCGGUAAUACGUAGGGUGCGAGCGUUAAUCGGAAUUACUGGGCGUAAAGCGUGCGCAGGCGGUUAUGUAAGACAGUUGUGAAAUCCCCGGGCUCAACCUGGGAACUGCAUCUGUGACUGCAUAGCUAGAGUACGGUAGAGGGGGAUGGAAUUCCGCGUGUAGCAGUGAAAUGCGUAGAUAUGCGGAGGAACACCGAUGGCGAAGGCAAUCCCCUGGACCUGUACUGACGCUCAUGCACGAAAGCGUGGGGAGCAAACAGGAUUAGAUACCCGUGUAGUCCCUGUCUCUUAUAC